rnacentral:rRNA from 1 species
ACUGCGAUGGGCGAAGCCUGAGCACGACGCCGCGUGAGGGAAGAAGGUUUUCGGAUCGUAAACCUCUGUCGGGAGGGAAGAAACCUUCAACGGUUAAUACCCGUUGGAAUUGACGGUACCUCCUAAGGAAGCAUCGGCUAACUACGUGCCAGCAGCCGCGGUAAUACGUAGGAUGCAAGCGUUGCUCGGAAUUAUUGGGUGUAAAGGGCGCGUAGGCGGCCUGAUAAGUCAUUGGUGAAAGCCCUCGGCUCAACCGAGGAAUUGCCAGUGAUACUGUCGGGCUAGAGUACGGGAGAGGGAAGCGGAAUUCCUGGUGUAGCGGUGAAAUGCGUAGAUAUCAGGAGGAACACCGGCGGCGAAGGCGGCUUCCUGGACCGACACUGACGCUGAGGCGCGAAAG